AUGGCAGAUUUCCACCGGAUGACAUCAUGGGAGCCCAGUGAAUGCCGGCUCAGAGAGGGGGACGGAGAAGGGGAGGGGGAGCAGAGGAGGGGAGAGCACUGGGGAGCGGAGCCAGAGCCGGGCUGCCUGCCACCCGGCUGCUCGUCCGCUAGCUGGGGAGGAGCUCUCCACCCGCAUCUGACAAAGGAUGGGAGAAUGCCCGCGCCCCGGGAUGCCGGCCGCGCGCAGCCUGGCGGCCGCCUGAGCCACUUCGCCCUCCGCCGGUGGAUCUGUUGUAAAGCGUAAGUUGGAUCUUGUUAUCUCUGAUAUUCUCCAUCUUUUAAAUUGGUAAGUAUCUCAUUUUCAUGCAUGGUGUUGUUGAAGAAUUUGGACCUAUUCUUACCAUAUUACUUUUUUCUUUUCUACUUUUUUUUGUUCAUUCAUUGAUUUUUAUUUUUCAUCUUUCUUGUCUUUUCAUUGAUCAUUGUAUUUUGCCCUUCACUGGUUGGGCAGUUAUAAUUUCUGUUGUUUUAGGGGCAAUUCUUUAUUUUUUGUUUCUGUUCUUUAUUUUUUAAACUUCAUAUAUUGAAAUAAUUAGAGACUCAUGUAAGCUGCAAUAUGAGAACAGAGAUAUUUAUGUAUCCAUCAUCCAGCUUUCCCUGAUGGCAACAUUUACAUAACUACACCACAUUAUCAAAAAUCUUCAAAUUGGUAUUGUUAUAUAGAAUUAGAUAGGCUACAGUUUCACCCGUUUUGGCAUGACUCAUUUACAUAUGUGUAUGUAUAUAGUUCUAUAACAUUCAUGGCUAGGCGUGGGGGUUCACACCUGUAAUCCCACCACUUUGGGAGGCUGAGGUGAGUGGAUAACCUGAGGUCAGAAGUUUAAGAUUGUGAUGGUUAAUACUGAGUGUCAGCUUGAUUGAAUUUAGGAAUACAAAGUAUUAAUCCUGGGUAUGUCUGUGUGGACGUUGCCAAAAGAGACUAACAUUUGAGUCAUUGGGCUGGGGACUGCAAAUCCACCCUUAAUCUGGCGGGCACAACCUAAUCAGCUUCCAGCAAAUAUAAAGCAGGCAGAAAAACAUGAAAGGGAGAGAUGGGCCUACCAGCUUCCCAGGCUCCAUCUUUCUGCCAUGCUGGGUGCUUCCUGCCCUUGAACAUCGGACUCCAAGUUCUUCAGUUUUGUGAUUUGGACCAGCUCUCCUUGCUCCUCAGCUUGCAGACGGUCUAUUGUAGGACCUUGUAGUCGUAUAAGUUAAUACUUAAUAAACUCUCCUUUAUAGAUAUAUAUUAAUACUUAAUAAACUUCAUAUAUAUGGAAAUUUAUUAAAUAUUAACUAUAUAUGUAUACACAUAUAUAUACACACACUAUAUGUGUUUGUGUAUGUAUAUAGUUAAUACUUAAUAAACUCCCAUAUAUAAUAUAUAUAUAAACUCCCCUUUAUACAUAUAUAUAAAGUUAACAAUAAACUCCCAUAUAUAAUUAUUAACCGUAUGUAUAGCUACAUAUAUUAUAUAUAGGAAUUUAUUAAGUAUUAACUAUAUAUAUAAAGGGGAGUUUAUAUAUAUAUAAUACCCUAUAUAUAUAGGAUAUAUACAUCCUAUUCUGUCCCUCUAAGAGAAACCUGACUAAUACAGAGACCAACCUGGCCUUCAUAGAGAAAUCCCAUCUCUACUAAAAAUAUAAAAACUAGCCAGGCACGGUGGCACACACCUGUAACGCCAGCUACUCAGAGCCGAGAUCAUGCCACUGCACUCUAGCCUGGGCAACAGAACGAGACUCUCUAAAAAAAAAUUAAUAACAAAUAUAAAUUUGUAUGAUCAAUACAGCAGUCAAGAUACAGAACUGCUCUGUCCACAAAGGAACUCAUUCACACAACCUCUUUUCAGUAGCACUACCUUCCAUACCUUCCACGACAACUACUAAUCUGAUUUCUAUCUCUAUAGUAAUGUGACUACUAAAAUGUUAUAUAGAUAGAAUCAUGCAGUAUGCAAACUUUUGAGAUUGCUUUUUUCCCCCUUGGCAUCUAAACUUUGUGUGUUCUGUAAUUUGUUUCAUUUUCAUGCUGGGUAGUAUUUCAUUAUAUGGAUGUGUCAGAUUUUCUUUAUCCAUUUAUUCCUUGAAAGACAUUUGGGUUGUUUCUAGUUUCAGGCUAGAAUGUUUAUAACUGGUUAUAAACAAAUAAACUGAUUUAUAACAAAUAACUGGUUUAUAACAAAUAAACCAGUUAUAAACAUUUGUGUAUACAUUUUCAUGUGAAUGUAAGUUUUCAUGUCUCUAGAGUCAAUGCCCACGUAUAUACUUAACAUUUUAACACAAAAUUAAAUAAACAAAUAUAAGAAUAUAUAGAUAUAUACACAAAGCUUAGCUUUAAUCAAUAUUUAUUUUUCCCCCAAGCAAAUCAAUAAACUGAGUAUACUAAACAGACUGUAUUUUUGCUGUAAUCCACUGCUACCCUCCUAUUGUCUGUUAUUUUAGUUCUGACUUGUUAUUAAAAGCAUUUUAAAAUCAUUACUUAUUUAAAUGUUACAAUAGAUUUUAUUAAUUCAUUGAGCUUACUUUAUUUUACAGCUCAUUUCCUUCUGAAGUUUUUCUUCUCAGUGGAAUAUAGUUUUACUUCAAAAAGGUUGAGUAGUCCACUUUCUAAGUCCUCAAAUGUCUGAAAAUGCCUUUAUUGAGCUCAUCUCUUUUGAGUGGAAGUUGAACUAUUUCAAGAUUUCUCGAUUUAAAUUCUUCUCACACAGUAUUUUCAAGACAUUUUUACAAUCAUUUUUGUAUUUCAUUUUGUAAAUAACAAGAUUGAAGUAUUAUAUUUCCUUCAUUUGGGGGUAAUCUAUAAUUUCUAUUUGAAUGUUUUUGAGUGUUUCUUCAUGUCUAUUAUUUUCAAGUUUUAUUUUUAAUUUAUUGUUAUACCCCUGUUGUUUUAUUUUAAUCCUUUUCAUGAUACACUGGACUUUUUCAGCUGGAGAAUUUGGCUGUCCUCUCUUCACCCACUCCUGGCUUUGGAAAAUUCUCAGGCAUUAUUUCUUCAAAUAUAGAUUAAUUUACAUUAUCACUGACAUUAUCUCUCUUGUCCACUCUAGGACUGCUAAGAAAUAGAUCUUAGAACUUCCGAAUCUAUAUUCCUCAUCACUCUCCGCUGCCACUUUUUGAGUUUGUCUGAUAAUAUUUACAUUUUUAUUUAUAAUCAUGUUUAUUACUAUUAGAUUUUUGUUAUAUUACCAUUUACAUUUAUUUCAGAUUGAUAACAUUUUCCUCCUUUCUCUGAGGAUAUUAAGUUGUUAAAGUAAAUGAUUGAUUGAUUGAUUCAUCUUACCAUGUCUAAGGAUUUUACUAUGUA
ensembl:lncRNA